rnacentral:tRNA from 2 species
GUCCCCAUCGUCUAGCCUGGCCUAGGACAUCGCCCUUUCGAGGCGACGACUGGGGUUCGAAUCCCCAUGGGGACG